AUUGAACGCUGGCGGCAGGCUUAACACAUGCAAGUCGAGCGAGCGGCGGACGUGUGAGUAAUGUCUGGGAAACUGCCUGAUGGAGGGGGAUAACUACUGGAACCGGUAGCUAAUACCGCAUACCAUCGGAUGUUCCCAUCUGGGAUUAGCUAGUAGGGGGGGUAAUGGCUCACCUAGGCGACGAUCCCUAGAUGGUCUGAGAGGAUGACAAGCCACACGGGAACUGAGACACGGUCCAGACUCCUAAGUGAGGAAGCAGUGGGGAAGAUUGCACAAUGGGAGAAAGCGUGAUACAGCCAGGCCGCGUGUGUGAAGAAGGCCUUCGGGUUGUAAAGCACUUUCAGCGAGGAGGCGUUACUCGCAGAAGAAGCACCGGCUAACUCCGUGCCAGCAGCCGCGGUAAUUC
rnacentral:rRNA from 1 species